GGGUUUCCUUGAAGAAGCAGAGAAAUUGAUCAUUAAGAUGCCCUUUGAGCCUGAGGCUUCUGUUUGGCGAGCUUUGCUUGAUAGUUGUAGACUUCACUUGAAUACAAGCAUCGGAAAACGGGUUGCGAAGCGUAUACUGGUUAUGGAGCCACAGGAUCCAUCCACAUAUGUGCUUGUAUCGAAUCUGUAUUCUGCUUCUGGGAGGUGGCAUUGCUCAGAAUUGGUUAGAGCCAAAAUGAGAGAAAGAGGGUUUCAGAAGCACCCAUGUCGAAGUUGGAUUAUUCAUCAGGAGAAGGUUCAUUCAUUUUAUGUAAGAG
rnacentral:misc_RNA from 1 species